rnacentral:rRNA from 1 species
GGGGCAGCAGGGGUGUAGCAAUACACUCGCUGGCGACCGGCAAACGGGUGCGGAACACGUACGCAACUUACCCAAAACUGGGGAAUAGCCCGGGGAAACCCGGAUUAAUACCUCGUAACAUAAUGAAGUGGCAUCACUUUAUUAUUAUAGCUCCGGCGGUUUUGGAUGGGCGUGCGCCUGAUUAGGUAGUUGGCGGGGUAACGGCCCACCAAGCCUACGAUCAGUAACUGGUGUGAGAGCACGACCAGUCACACGGGCACUGAGACACGGGCCCGACUCCUACGGGAGGCAGCAGUAAGGAAUAUUGGUCAAUGGACGCAAGUCUGAACCAGCCAUGCCGCGUGAAGGAUGAAGGUCCUCUGGAUUGUAAACUUCUUUUAUAUGGGAAGAAAUUCCCGCAUUCUUGCGGGAUUGACGGUACCAUAGGAAUAAGCACCGGCUAACUCCGUGCCAGCAGCCGCGGUAAUACGGAGGGUGCAAGCGUUAUCCGGAUUCACUGGGUUUAAAGGGUGCGUAGGAGGGCAGGUAAGUCAGUGGUGAAAUCUCCAAGCUUAACUUGGAAACUGCCGUUGAUACUAUCUGUCUUGAAUACCGUGGAGGUGAGCGGAAUAUGUCAUGUAGCGGUGAAAUGCUUAGAUAUGACAUAGAACACCAAUUGCGAAGGCAGCUCGCUACACGAAUAUUGACUCUGAGGCACGUAAGCGUGGGGAUCAAACAGGAUUAGAUACCCUGGUAGUCCACGCCCUAAACGAUGGAUACUCGACAUACGCGAUACACAGUGUGUGUCUGAGCGAAAGCAUUAAGUAU